rnacentral:rRNA from 1 species
UACGUAGGGGGCAAGCGUUGUCCGGAAUCAUUGGGCGUAAAGAGCGUGUAGGCGGCCAGAAAAGUCCGCUGUGAAAACUCGAGGCUCAACUUCGAGCUGUCGGUGGAAACUUUCUGGCUAGAGUCCGGAAGAGGAGAAUGGAAUUCCUGGUGUAGCGGUGAAAUGCGCAGAUAUCAGGAAGAACACCCGUGGCGAAGGCGGUUCUCUAGUACGGUACUGACGCUGAGGCGCGAAAGCGUGGGGAGCGAACAGG